CCUACGGGUGGCAGCAGUGGGGAAUAUUGGACAAUGGGCGAAAGCCUGAUCCAGCCAUGCCGCGUGUGUGAAGAAGGCCUUCGGGUUGUAAAGCACUUUCAGUGGGGAAGAAAGCCUUGGGGCUAAUACCCUCGAGGAAGGACAUCACCCACAGAAGAAGCACCGGCUAACUCCGUGCCAGCAGCCGCGGUAAUACGGAGGGUGCGAGCGUUAAUCGGAAUUACUGGGCGUAAAGCGCGCGUAGGCGGUCUGAUAAGCCGGUUGUGAAAGCCCCGGGCUCAACCUGGGAACGGCAUCCGGAACUGUCAGGCUAGAGUGCAGGAGAGGAAGGUAGAAUUCCCGGUGUAGCGGUGAAAUGCGUAGAGAUCGGGUGGAAUACCAGUGGCGAAGGCGGCCUUCUGGACUGACACUGACGCUGAGGUGCGAAAGCGUGGGUAGCAAACAGGAUUAGAUACCCCUGUAGUC
rnacentral:rRNA from 1 species